UACGUAGGGUCCGAGCGUUGUCCGGAAUUAUUGGGCGUAAAGGGCUCGUAGGCGGUUUGUCGCGUCGGGAGUGAAAACUCAGGGCUCAACCCUGAGCGUGCUUCCGAUACGGGCAGACUAGAGGUAUGCAGGGGAGAACGGAAUUCCUGGUGUAGCGGUGGAAUGCGCAGAUAUCGGGAGGAACACCGGUGGCGAAGGCGGUUCUCUGGGCCUUACCUGACGCUGAGGAGCGAAAGCGUGGGGAGCGAACAGG
rnacentral:rRNA from 1 species